AUGUGUGACAUCCGUUCGUGCUUGAACACACUACAGUUUCUCAACAAGAAGAAUCAAACCCUCAAUGUGUUUGAGAUCAGUUCCCAAGUGGUAGGUCAAAAGGACAUGUCUAGAAGCAUCUUUGAUAUCUAGAAAGAGAUUUUUCAGAACAGAAAAAUGAAGUGAG